rfam:Desertifilum sp. IPPAS B-1220 NODE_34_length_63890_cov_37.6624, whole genome shotgun sequence.
GGAGAGGUGGCCGAGCGGUCGAAGGCGCAGCACUGGAAAUGCUGUAACACCCGAAAGGUGUUCGGGGGUUCGAAUCCCCCCCUCUCCG